rnacentral:lncRNA from 1 species
GUUCUUACGUAGUAAAUGCAGAAGUUAUAUAUUUUUAUUACCGGUAGUACCGGUACCGGUAAUAAUACUAUUAUUACUACUAAUAAUUAAUACUUAAAUAGCGUCACGACUUUUAUAACCGGUACUGUCAGUAAACAUAUGCAUUUGGGACCUUGUCGAUUUUUGUCAAAUAUUCUUUUUUAUAGCCGGUACUCGAAGAGUAAAUAUGGCAUAUUGUAUUUGUGCACAAAGUGGAUGUAUGUAACGCACAGAAGGAAACGUUUCCGACCCCAUAAAGUACAUACAUAUAUUCUUGAUCAGCAUCAAUAGCCGAGUCGGUAGGUACUCGAAGAAUAAAUAAAUAAAGGCAAAUUGUAUUUGUGGGGAAAAAUUUAACACAGAAGGAAGCGUUUCCGAGAAAGUAUUUAUAUAUGUAUAUUCUUAAUCCGCAUCAAUAGCCGUCCGUUAUUAUUAUAGCCAGAAUGAACAAAUUAAUUUGCAGUGGCUACCCCCCACCCCGUUCAUCAGCUUUUUUUGUUUUUUGCACAUUCUCAUUUUACACUUUGCUUAGUGUAGUGCACACAAUCCUGGGGUGGGUGGCACAGCACCCCGCAAUACCGACGCCUUGGAGAGGCAGCUAAGCAACAUUGCGGCUGCCCGUCCUUCUGGCAAAGUAGAGGGGGAGGUUGGGCCAUCGACCAGCGAAGAAGCCAAACGCUUCACGUAUGCCGAAAAGAGGAGUGCAGGGCACAUACUCCGUCGGCAGUACGCAAGCACAGAAGGCAGCCCAUCAGAGGACUGGCUGAAGAAGGUGAAGUGGGCCUCGGAAGUGCUUCCAAUCUUCAGCCUGGAACCUCACAGACCGACCCAGCAACCGAAAACGCAACGCUCGCAAGAGACGCCUGGACCAUCUGCAAGGCGAUCCAGGAUAAUGGCAAACGUGUCCUUCGCGCAGAUUGUCAAGUAGAGGACGCUGAUAGGCAGAUGGAUGGCAGAAUCCCCAGGAGCCAGUGGAAGUGUGUGGAAGCGGCAUUGGUCGACCGCUGCUUCGAGUUACUGGACAAGGACCCCGGCCCACCUCCAGCCUGCAAAGACAUGGGACGGUUCCAGGGUAACACAAAGAUCAUAGCCAAAGAUCACACCAGACGAGCGCUCCGUGCAGCUGUACAAAGCAGCGGUAGCGCAAGUUGAGCGAGGUGCCCAGUCGACCGAGGGCGAGAAUUUUGGUGCCGGCCUCGAUGAAAGAGCCAGAACGCAUCCUGCGAAUGUUGCAGCAAUGCAACCCGAACCUUCCAACAGCAGAUUGGAAGGUUGCUAAAGUUGAAGCGGCACAGGGCACAACUAACCAAGCCGUUGUCGUAAUUAACAAGGAGUCGCUGGCCCCGAUAGAGGCAGACAAAGCAGAGCUCAAUUUCGGGUUCAGCUCCGUCACCAUAAAGGUAUAUAAGUCGGAUGCAGCGGCCGUGGAGCGUCCUGUCGACAACCCAGUCGACAACAACCAGCCGGAUUUAGCCCACGAAAGUGACUCCCUAGAGUUGGAGCUGAUGCUCGAAUUCGAGGCUAUGUGCCGAAGUAGGAGCUCCGGUGAGUCGGACGCCGACAAUACAGUGGGGGAACUAUGCAAGGAUCCCUUUGAGGCUUCUUCAAAUAAAUCUCCACCACUGUAAAGUAGCAACUGCUGCCCUCCUACUCCGCUUGGAAUCGAGCGGAGGUCACGUAGUCCUAAUCCAGGAGCCUUGGGUAGUUGGAGACAAGGUCUGUGAAUUAGCGACGAAGGACUACAAGCUGAUUGUAGCACCAAAGGAAGGUAAAAAUCGUACCUGCAUUUCAGCUAGAAAGCAUAUAAACAUCUUUCUUCUCCACAAUUUUAGCGAUGGCGACAACACAGCAGCUAGCCUAGAGCUGCAAGGGACACACCUCAGAGUGGUGUCGUCCUACAUGGCUCACGACUAUAGUGACCCUCCCAGCGACCUUGUCCGCAGGAUUGCCAGACAGCGAGAGGUCAAACACAGGCCAACUGAGAGGCUGCGACGCCAACGCUCACCAUACCCAAUGGGGAAACUCGGACAAAAAUGUAAGGGGUGAGUCACUUUUCAGCUUCAUCCUAAACUCAAAUCUGGUCUUAUGUACUCAUGGAACGACCCUACCUUCAUUAUAAACAACCGACAGGAGGUCAUAGACCUUACCCUAGUGUCCCAUAGCAUACUGAGCUUAAUUAAGGGCUGGAGAGUUACUGGGAGAUAUAUUCUAAAACUCUGGAAGAACUUCUUCCCCCAACAGCACCAACAUGCCCUGAUUCACAAGACGACCUUAACAGUCUUGUAAAGAAUUUCAGGUAUAGAGAAAGCUCUACACCUUAAUCAAUACUCCCUAGCGGCAUUCCUUGAUAUUGCAAAGUAGUGGCAUAUGCAGACGACGUUGUCAUAAUGUUAACGGGGAAAUUUCCCCAAACUCUCUGUGAUCUCAUGACCACAACCUAGCGCGAUUGUCAGAAUGGAGAAAAUCGUGCGGACUGGGUGUAAAUGCCUCAAAAACGGAACUUGUACUAUUCACUAACAAGUACAAAACUCCGCCGCAAUGGCCCAUUGGACUAAAAUAUGGCAUGAACCCACGUAUAGUCUAAUGGAUAUACCAAGCUGUAGCCAAACCAAUACUGCUCUACAGAAUCACAGAAUGGUGGCAGGCUCUGUCAAAAAAGACAAUCACCGCUCAAGUGGCAAAAGUCCAACGAACGGCCACCCUUUGCAUCAGUGGCGCUCUCCGCACCACACAAAAUGAUGCACUAAAUGCCAUCUUAUGCCUGCAGGGCAUAUACCUUGCAGGGAAGGAACAGGCAGCACGGGCAGCAAUUCGUAUGCGAGACUCGGACCAAUGGACGUCACGACCCUAUGGUCACUCGGCGAUCUUUAGGGACACUAACAUAGUACCUCAUAGAACUGACUAUUGCGUUCCCAGAGAGUACACAGCCACCCCCUUCGAGGCUAUAAUACCCCGUAGAGAGGAAUGGCUCGAGGGCACACCAAAGGCACCAUAUACAUCUUUACAGAUGGAUCCAAACUUGAUAACAAAGUUGGCGGAGGAAUUUACUGCGGGCAACUAAAUAUGGGGCAUUCAUUGCGCCUUCCAGAUCACUGCAGUGUCUUCCAAGCGAAAGUCAUUGCGAUAGAUGAGGCGCUGAGGUGCCUUUAAGAGAUCUCUAAACUCGAUUUCGUCGAAUUCGACCACAGUGGCAAAUUGUCGCAAAUCUCUAGAUGAAAUGGCAAUGCAAUAUGCUAUUAGCCUAACAUGGGUCCCGGGACACCAGGACAUGAAGGCAACUGCAUAGCCAACGAGUUGGCCAGAUCCGGCACUACACUCCCCCUUAAUUCAGAUAAGGAGGAAAUACGUAUGCCAAUGGCCACUUGCAAGCUCAAAAUAAAAGAGUACUAUACCCUGCAAACAAAAAACAGAUGGAAAACGUCCCAAGAUGUCGGUAUCACCCGACAAACGUGGCCAGACAUCUCGAAAAAACUCACCGCUGAACUGUGCAAACUCAGUAGACAUAGGUGCAGCGUAGUCAUUCGCUCUCUCACAGGUCAUUGGCUGUUAGGCAACCACGUAAAUAGUCUGGUGCCCCCUAUAGCGACUUCUGUCGCAGCUGUAGAGACGAGCAUGGGGAAGAAACAGUAGAACGUCUGUUCUGCUCCUGUCCGGCUCUCAGUAGAAUGAGACUAAGAUAUCUAGGCUCACCUUUUCUUAACGACAUUUCAGAAAUGUCUACUAUAGGUCCAAGGAAGAUAGCAAAGUUUAUUAGAGCAUCUGGAUGGGAGCAGUGAUGACACCGUGACAAACGGGAGGAGAAGAGGAAUUAGAUCCAAGCGGAAUCACAACGGGCCGAAACCGGCCUAAGUGUGUCGGGAUUGCAAAAUUCCGACAACCGCUUCAACCUAAUGCAGUGUGUGGCUCUAGGGAAGGGCGGCGAGCUAAACAGCAUGUUGGCGUGAGAAAUUAUGUAGACGUAGAUGACAUAUGUAGAAAAAUUGUAAAGUGUAAAAUGUAACAUUUGAAGAAAAACGCGAAGGGACGUGUGAGACGCUUUUUACGCGUCACAACUUUUAUACCCGGCACUCAGUACUACAUCUGCAGCUUAGCGGUGUUUUGUCAAAUUUUAAAUUUUUUCUUCUUCUGUCAUCUACAUCUACAACACUUCUCACACCAACACGCUCCGUAAGCUCGCCGCCCUUCCCUAGACCCACACACUGCAGACUCGAGGCAGAAGCAGAUCACCGUCCGCACAAAAAAAAAAAACAAAUAAAAGCUGCGGGACGGGGUGGGGUAAAAGUCGGAAGAUUCAUCGCCAGGGGGAGGGCAGAGGCAGGGGCCGAGUGAAGCAGAAGCAGAAGCAGAGUGUGAAUGAGAGAAUAUAAAAAGAGCAACAAAAGCUGCGGGACAGGGUGGGUUUAGCCACUGGAAAUUAAUUUCUCCAUUGUGCCUAUAAAUAAUGAAUCCCAAUUUGGUGAUCUAAUAGAUAUGGACAUUUCCUACGGAAUGGCGUUUUUAGUUUUCUUUUAUCUUCAAAAUUUUAUUGAUUUGGGAUGUUUUCGCCCUUUUGCGGGGGCGGAAGGGGGCGUGGCUAAUUUUUGAAAUACACUGGGUUCAGUGUGAGCAUAUAGCAGUCGAGAUGCAAAAUUUGGUGGCUCUAGCUCUUAUAGUCUCUGAGAACUAGCCGACAAAAAAGACGGACAGACGGACAGCUGAUCAAGAAUAUAUAUACUUUAUGGGAAACGUUUCCUUCUGUGCGUUACAUACAACCGAUAUUAAAGAUUAAUUAUGAUGAAAGAUCCUUUAAAACAUUUUAGAACUUUAAAAUAAUAUAUUUGAUUGAGUGAUUGAAUGAUUGUUUGGUGAAAAGUACUUUGAUUGGAAUCGCUCCAACGUACAAUUGAAUUUCGAUUGGUACUUGUUUAACUAAGCAAUAAAUUGGAUAAUUCCAGACAUCCAACAGCGCUGCAUGAGUGAACUCAUAAGCAUCUGCUAAACGGACAAAAAGCAUUAACACCACGUGAUUCUAUAAUAUUUUGUUAAUAACAAGUAACUUGAACUUUUGUGCAGUGGUAUGCUGUGCAAAAGUAAUAUUCCACAGAAAACACGUGCAAUUGUUAGUACCAAGCUAAAUAGACACACUAACAAAACAUUGGACAAUUAAAUAACUACACACAACUAUACAAAAACAUGUAUUAACAAUUAAUUUAAAUACCUCGACCUGUUAUUUCCAUCUUUUUACUUGUAUAUAAACUUUGUAAUCGAGCUACAACUACAGCUGCAAGCUGUAGCUUGCUCAAUUUUUCCCGCACUUUUUCACAAUUCAAAGCAUCUCAAAAUCAGCCAACUUGGAAAGCGCGCAAAAAACAUAUGGUAAUAGGUAAAAAUCUUCUAAACCCAGUUUUUU